rnacentral:rRNA from 1 species
AGCAGCCGCCGCGGGAAUACAGAGGGUGCAAGCGUUAAUCGGAAUUACUGGGCGUAAAGCGCGCGUAGGUGGUUUGUUAAGUUGGAUGUGAAAGCCCCGGGCUCAACCUGGGAACUGCAUCCAAAACUGGCAAGCUAGAGUACGGUAGAGGGUGGUGGAAUUUCCUGUGUAGCGGUGAAAUGCGUAGAUAUAGGAAGGAACACCAGUGGCGAAGGCGACCACCUGGACUGAUACUGACACUGAGGUGCGAAAGCGUGGGGAGCAAACAGGAUUAGACCCCCGUAGUCCCUGUCUCUUAUACAC